CAGCCGCCGCGGGAAUACGUAGGGUGCAAGCGUUAAUCGGAAUUACUGGGCGUAAAGCGUGCGCAGGCGGUUAUAUAAGUCAGAUGUGAAAUCCCCGGGCUCAACCUGGGAACUGCAUUUGAGACUGUAUGGCUAGAGUGUGUCAGAGGGGGGUAGAAUUCCACGUGUAGCAGUGAAAUGCAUAGAUAUGUGGAGGAAUACCGAUGGCGAAGGCAGCCCCCUGGGAUAACACUGACGCUCAUGCACGAAAGCGUGGGGAGCAAACAGGAUUAGAUACCCGCGUAGUCCCUGUCUCUUAUAC
rnacentral:rRNA from 1 species